AUUGAACGCUGGCGGCAUGCCUUACACAUGCAAGUCGAACGGCAGCACGGGUGCUUGCACCUGGUGGCGAGUGGCGAACGGGUGAGGAAUACAUCGGAACGUACCUUAUUGUGGGGAUAACGCAGCGAAAGUUGCGCCAAUACCGCAUACGCCCUGAGGGGGAAAGCGGGGGACCGUAAGGCCUAGAGCGAUGAGAGCGGCCGAUGUCUGAUUAGCUUGUUGGUGAGGUCAAAGCUCACCAAGGCGAUGAUCAGUAGCUGGUCUGAGAGGAAGAUCAGCCACACUGGGACUGAGACACGGCCCAGACUCCUACGGGAGGCAGCAGUGGGGAAUUUUGGACAAUGGGGGCAACCCUGAUCCAGCAAUGCCGCGUGAGUGAAGAAGGCCUUCGGGUUGUAAAGCUCUUUUGUCAGGGAAGAAACAGCAGCUCAAACACAGUCUGCGAAUGGCGGUACCUGAAGAAUAAGCACCGGCUAACUACGUGCCAGAAGCCGCAGUAA
rnacentral:rRNA from 1 species